rnacentral:rRNA from 1 species
UGACAAACCGGAGGAAGGUGGGGAUGACGUCAAAUCAUCAUGCCCCUUAUGACCUGGGCUACACACGUGCUACAAUGGACGGUACAAAGAGCUGCAAGACCGCGAGGUGGAGCUAAUCUCAUAAAACCGUUCUCAGUUCGGAUUGUAGGCUGCAACUCGCCUACAUGAAGCUGGAAUCGCUAGUAAUCGCGGAUCAGCAUGCCGCGGUGAAUACGUUCCCGGGCCUUGUACACACCGCCCGUCACACCACGAGAGUUUGUAACACCCGAAGUCGGUGGGGUAACCUUUUUGGAGCCAGCCGCCUAAGGUGGGACAGAUGAUUGGGGUGAAGUCGUAACAAGGUAGCCGUAUCGGAAGGUGCGGCUGGAUCACCUCCUUU